CCAGUCACGUAUAUGGGAUAUGAGGGAAAGGUCGCCCCUGUGCUAAUAUUCCUACAAGAUAUCUGCAGCGCCCCUGGACUUCGUACUGCAUGAAGAGGGGAGUUUCCAAGAAUAAAAAUAAAGCUGCUCAAAACUAGGUUUUAUAUGUAUUGUUUAUACUCUAACGUACAUUCUGAUCAAUUGAGAUGUGACUUUUGAUGGCGAUGUUCGCCAAUGUUUUUGUCUCUUUGUUCUUGUGAUAUUGUGUGAAGGCUCAAUAUGUUGAACAUGCUGAUCUGAAUAAAUCCUGAGUUCUUUAUUUGACGGUCAAAAUGAGUACAAAGGAUAAAGAGAAAUAUUCCGACAAACCAUCGCAGAAUAUCACUAGGCACAUGUAUUCGCUGGUCGCGAAACAAUUUUGAUAAUUCAUAUAAUAGUUUCUUAUGACCAGAAUAUUUCAUUGAUUUUUUUUGUGUACGCUUCUGAAAUAACUUUCCUUGCAUUAAAUCCUUGGAUAAAACAUAUUUUAAACCGUUAGAUUCUAAGACUUUUCUAAAUUCUCAUUUUAAGUUUUAAAAGUUUUAGUUUGUGACAAUAAAACAAUAUGCUGGGUCCACACAACCAACCAACAUAAGGCUGAAAACAAAUCCCAGAGAGAUUAUAUUAAAUUAUUCUUAGA